UACGUAGGUGACCAGCGUUGUCCGGAAUUAUUGGGCGUAAAGAGCUCGUAGGCGGUUUGUCGCGUCUGCCGUGAAAGUCCGGGGCUCAACUCCGGAUCUGCGGUGGGUACGGGCAGACUAGAGUGAUGUAGGGGAGACUGGAAUUCCUGGUGUAGCGGUGAAAUGCGCAGAUAUCAGGAGGAACACCGAUGGCGAAGGCAGGUCUCUGGGCAUUAACUGACGCUGAGGAGCGAAAGCAUGGGGAGCGAACAGG
rnacentral:rRNA from 1 species